rnacentral:rRNA from 1 species
UACGUAGGGUGCAAGCGUUGUCCGGAAUUAUUGGGCGUAAAGAGCUUGUAGGCGGUUUGUCGCGUCUGCUGUGAAAUUUCGGGGCUCAACCCCGAACUUGCAGUGGGUACGGGCAGACUAGAGUGUGGUAGGGGAGACUGGAAUUCCUGGUGUAGCGGUGAAAUGCGCAGAUAUCAGGAGGAACACCGAUGGCGAAGGCAGGUCUCUGGGCCACUAACUGACGCUGAGAAGCGAAAGCAUGGGGAGCGAA